rnacentral:rRNA from 1 species
GAACGGGUUUCGGCAGUGUAUCGCCGGAAUUAGUGGCAGACGGGUGAGCAAUACGUGGACAAUCUUCCUUUAAGAAGGGGAUAACCCCGGGAAACCGGGGCUAAUACCGCAUGAGACCACGUCCUGGCAUCAGGAUGGGGCUAAAGUUCCGCAAGGGACGCUUAUUGAGGAGUCCACGGCCUAUCAGCUAGUUGGUGAGGUAACGGCCCACCAAGGCUACGACGGGUAGGCGGUCUGAAAGGACGACCGCCCACAAUGGCACUGAGACACGGGCCAUACUCCUACGGGAGGCAGCAGUGGGGAAUUUUGCGCAAUGGGGGAAACCCUGACGCAGCGAUGCCGCGUGAAGGACGAAGGUCUUCGGAUUGUAAACUUCUUUUGCAGGGGAAAAAUGUCUGCGUGAAUAACGCAGAAUGAUGGUACUCUGCGAAUAAGCCACGGCUAACUUCGUGCCAGCAGCCGCGGUAAGACGAAGGUGGCGAGCGUUACUCGGAAUUACUAGGCGUAAAGCGUGGGCAGGCGGCUCGGUAAGUCUGUUGUGAAAGCUCCCGGCUCAACUGGGAGAGGCCAAUGGAUACUGCCGGGCUUGAAUCGGGGAGGGGUCACUGGAAAUUCUUGGUGUAGCGGUGAAAUGCGUAGAUAUCAGAGAACAUCCAUGGCGAAAGCAGGUGACUGGACCCGUAUUGACGCUCAUCCACGAAAGCUGGGGGAUCAAACAGGAUUAGAUACCCUGGUAGUCCCAGCCGUAAACGAUGCUCACUAGGUGUGGGAGGUAUCGACCCCUCCCGCGCCGACGCUAACGCAUUAAGUGAGCCGCCUGGGGAGUACGGCCGCAAGGUUGAAACUCAAAGGAAUUGACGGGGGCCCGCACAAGCGGUGGAUCAUGUGGUUUAAUUCGACGCAACGCGAAGAACCUUACCUGGGCUCGAACGGGUGGUAGUAGUUUGCUGGAAACAGUGAACGAACCGUCAAGUCGGUUGCCAUUCGAGGUGCUGCAUGGCUGUCGUCAGCUCGUGUCGUGAGAUGUUGGGUUAAGUCCCGCAACGAGCGCAACCCUUAUCCCAUGUUGCUAACCCCGCAAGGGGAGAACUCCUGGGAGACUGCCUCGGAUAACGGGGAGGAAGGUGAGGACGACGUCAAGUCAUCAUGGCCCUUAUGUCCAGGGCUACACACGUGAUACAAUGGCCGGCACAGCAGGAUGCAAUACCGCAAGGUGGAGCCAAUCCCUAAAGCCGGCCCCAGUUCAGAUUGUGGGCUGCAACCCGCCCACAUGAAGUCGGAAUCGCUAGUAAUCGCAGAUCAGCAGGCUGCGGUGAAUACGUUCCCGGGCCUUGCACACACCGCCCGUCAC